rnacentral:rRNA from 1 species
GUAGGUGGCAAGCGUUGUCCGGAAUUAUUGGGGCGUAAAGCGCGCGCAGGCGGUUCUUUAAGUCUGAUGUGAAAGCCCACGGGCUCAACCGUGGAGGGUCAUUGGAAACUGGAGAACUUGAGUACAGAAGAGGAAAGCGGAAUUCCACGUGUAGCGGUGAAAUGCGUAGAGAUGUGGAGGAACACCAGUGGCGAAGGCGGCUUUCUGGUCUGUAACUGACGCUGAGGCGCGAAAGCGUGGGGAGCAAACAGGAUUAGAUACCCUGGCAGUCCACGCCGUAAACGAUGAGUGCUAAGUGUUAGGGGGUUUCCGCCCCUUAGUGCUGCAGCUAACGCAUUAAGCACUCCGCCUGGGGAGUACGGCCGCAAGGCUG